UAUUCAGCUUCAUAACAUGAUUAUUAGAUCUAUUUUGCAUACCAAAAUAGAUGCCUUGUGAGAUCCUAUAUGCAAUAAGAUGAUUUUUUUCCUGACAGCUAGCUUGCAUUGCCUUAUUUAUACUCUGCAUUUUAGUGUUUACUGAAAAUGGCCUGUUUGGAGACUAAGCUGACCAAAGGAAAAAACUAACCAUACUUGGGCACUUGCUGUUAACUUUCUUUUUGAAGAUGCUUCUUCUGCUCACUGUGUGUGAACUGUGAUGUAGCACGUCACACGUUUCUCUGUAACCUCAUAGACGUAUUUCGGUAUUCCUAUCCUCUGAAUUUCUUUCAAUGUUAGGUAACAUCUGCGAGAGGUUCUGACUUAAAUUUUCUUGUUCUGUGGUGGGCUGAAGUGCAUAGGUGAGUGUGCGUGCGUACCUGAACACAUAGGUCUGUGUAAUGCAGAUGGCAGGUCCAUAGGCCCUUCUGAAUAUAUUUUAUUUUGGUACAGAAUUGGCAAGCGGUCUAAAAAUUCUUGAGCACAGGAUCACAGCUGCCAAAACCCUGCUGCUCUGUAGUAUAGGUUCCACCAGUUUGAGGGGGGAGAACCCUCUUGCUCUUUGGCCCUGCUGGACUGGCCCACUGUAGUCAGGGUGUAUUUUCCAAGUGAAGCUUGACAAACUGGUUCUUAAUUCUCCUGUCCUCUCAGCACUACAGAAUUACAAAACUGAAGCUUCACUCUGUUUGAUGUGAAGGAAAGUAAGUCUGGCAUGACUGGAGUUUGGAAGUCCAGCACAUCGAUAUCUUAUGGGAAUUGAAUUCUGGAUAACACAGCCACAAACAGAGGAGCAGAGACCUGAUCUUGAAAUAAGGUUUCUUUCACAAAAAAUGUAAUGGAACUAACUACGCAAUUAUAGUUUAUUUUUGAAAUUAUGAGAGCAGACAGUAUAAGGAAAGAAAGGAACACAUCUGCAGCAAGGCUGGAACUUUCUCUGUACCCUUCUAGCGCUAUCCCAAGGUUAUCCUAAAUAAUCUGUUCACCUCUAAUAAGAAAUUAUGAUCUGGAUAAAAGCAGAAUAAAAUCUUCUUUAUUUAAUUUUUCAGGUCAUCACACUAAUCACAGAAAGGAGUACAAAGCAGCCUUGAUGAAAGGCACAGGCUGUUAAUCAGCUCUGUCGGUCCUUCCUCCACAUUUCACCAGUCCCACCCAUAGAGCAGGUGGGAGCCUUGGGUUCAUUUCUUGAACUGUGUUUGUUCUAAACCUGCUGAAAUUCUUGCGUGCAGGAGAAAGUUCCAGGGACAGAAGGAUCCUCAGCCAUGUGUUCCUGAUGCACAGCUAAGACAAAACCUGUGGAACAGAGAAGCUUCUCUUACAGUCUCUGAAGAAAGCACUGUAUCAGGGAAGGCUUUUUCAUCGCUGAGAGAGGGACUGAGGAAAGCGGCAGCUGCAGGUGUCAUCUUCCUGGAUUGACUGUUCAGGUGUGAUAUGCACUGAAGAAAAAGAAAAGAAUCACAGAAUCAACUAGGUUGGAAAAGACCCCUGAGAUCAUCGAGUCCAAUCUCUGACUGAACACCACAUUGUCAACUAGACCAUGGCACUGCGUUUUUUGUCCAGUUGUUUCUUGAACACCUCCAGUGACAGUGACUACACCACCUCCCUGGGCAGCCCCUUCCAAUCUUUAACAACCUAUUUUAUGAAGAAAUUCCUCCUGAUCUCGAACCUGAACAUCCCCUGGCACAGCUUGAGGCCAUUUCCUCUUGUCCUGUCAUCUGUUACUUGGGAGAAGAGCCCAACUCCCACCUUGCUACAACCACCUUUCAGGUAGUUGUAGAGUGUGAGAUGGUCCCCCCUGAGCCUCAUUUUCUCCAGGCUAAGCCCCCACAGCUCUCUCAGAUGCUCCUCAUGGACUUAUACUCUAGAUCCUUCCCCAGCUUUGUUGCCCUUCUCUGGACUUAAUCCAGCACCUCAAUGUUUUUUCAAGUGAGAGGCCCAGAACUAGACAGAUGUCCUCUUUCCCCAUCUUAUUUCACCAUUCCUCAGUCACAAGUUCAGGAAGUCAGAAAGAAAAAAAUCUUCCAAAUGAUUCUAUAAUCUGAAAUUAUUCCUCUACAGCAUAUAAAUCUGAUAAAACUAAUUUAUCAUACUUUGUUUCCUCUAAUUCAACAGGACCUCUAAUGCUCUGUUUGCCAUAGCAAUGAAAGGAAGACAACAUGGAGAAGUUAGAUUUUUGGACUGCUAUUGUCUCCUGUAUUCAGAAUCACACUAGAAGAUUAAGACCUUAUCCUUAGGACAGGGGAGAAGAAGAGAGAGAGAGACAACCCCUCAGAAAACCAAACAAGCCAACUACAAACUACGUUGAAUGCAAUUACACUCCAUCUUUGUGCUGAACUCUUGAGCUUCCUCAGCGUUUAUUAGCUCUCAGAGGGCAGUGUUGGAUUCAGGCUGCCUCUGCACCUGUGUAGCAGCACAUCCUGACUGAUACCUCCUCUUCUACCACAGCCAGAGCUCCAAGGCGCUCACUCCAGGCCAUGCGUACUGUUUCUAAGCAGAGAGCACUCGAAAAUGUUAUAGCCACAGAUGCCAAGGAUGGUACUUGAAAGUAAUAAACUGAACUGACCCUUGACAGGAUCAGCAAGGCUCAGGUGAGCUUUUUCACCUCCCACGAAUACUUCACUUGAAGGGAUAAGGAAGCAGUUUGCAGAACACCCACAGUUAAGUAAGUGCCUUCUGCAGUAAAAAUUCCAAAACUGUUUUCCCUUCAGUUGUUUCUGACUUACGAGGCCAAAAAACCCGAAGCUAUUGCAACUGUCUUUAAAAGACAAUUAACCUGGAUUCCUGACUUCUCUCUAGUUUCAUAAAGAAAACUGAAGAGUGCAUUUAUCUUACUUUUUUUGAAGACAGCGUGUAGUUUCUUUUUCUGCCAGACACCGAAGCAUAUGCACAAAGGUAGCAGGAACACUAUGCACAACAGCCCAGCUACGGUGAGAAAAAUCCUGAUAAUGUCUGUCUGGAGAUCCUUCCCUAGGAAUUAAACAACAUUCUCUUAAGAGUUUUAACAGAAAAAAAUUCUACUGCCCUUGAGUUAGCCGACAGCUUUGUCUCCCACUCUGCUUCUAGCUAAGUCUGCAAUACUGGAAAUGCAUAGAAGAAAGGACUCUUGCUUUAAAUGGAAAGUGAACGUAUGUUUCAAAGUAGGUCACAAUUCUUUAGCUCUUUAAGCAGCAUUGUACAAUGACUCACCUGGCCCAGUGAUAGAAAAUGGAAUUGCAAGUGAUGUGGUAGGUAGAGUAGUGACUAAAGUGCGAUUAACUGAAGUGUGUUUGCAAAUGACAUCUUUUUCUGCAGUUCCAGGCUCCAGUAUCUGGUUUGUAGAGCACCUGAAAGACAUUUACAGCAGAACAGGGAAAAGAAAAAAAGCUACAGAAAAAAAUCCAGUAAAGUGUAAUAGCUGUAGCAUUUAGAUUACAUACUUUGUCCAGUUUUUACAGGAGCCAUUGGGCUGAUCAUUAAAAGUUCCAUACUGGCAAGUCUGGCAACCUUCAACAGACAAGGACAGGUAAAUUUGUACAAGAUAAACAUUUAAAACACAA